rnacentral:tRNA from 2 species
GGGUGCUUAGCUCAGCGGCAGAGCGGUCCGUUCACAUCGGACAGGUCGCCGGUUCGAAUCCAGCAGCACCCA